UUCGUCAGGCCCUCAAAGGCAGUGAUGUUGGCAGGCGGACCCUCAUCGGGCACCAAUCUGGUCACUACUGCCCCCACCAUGAGACUCAAUACAGGGAAAGAUCCUGGUGUGAAGAACAACACAUUGUGGUCCAGUAGCUUGCAUCAGAACUGGCAGCUCUUUGAUAUUAGAGGUUUGAGAUGUGUCUGCUACACUGAAGACUACAUUUUACAUGAUAUUCCAAUUUCUUCCAGGACAAACGGAUCCUGAUUCAUUAUCAGCAAAUGAAUAGGAAAACGAUGACUGUUUCCCACUAAUGGAUCCUGCUCAUUUCCACUGGAGGUUUCCAGCUGGAUGAAAAGAAUGGCGUCAUGGACCGAGAGGAAGAGAAGGUCUCUGGUAACCUCCUCGUCAAAGAAGGACAGGGCCUCCAUUCUCCUGACAAGCUCACCUGUGACACGAGGACCCUUUAGAUUUUGGCUAAGCAUUAUUGCAGUAAAACCAUGACAGAAAAUAGCAGCAAAGAUGGCACACCAGUUUGAGGGACUUGGCUGCUACCACGUCCAGGAAUGAGACGGCUGAGAAGUCCACAACCAGGCUGUGAAUAUGGACCCUGGGCACUGACACACCGACAGGCAGCUCAGACCUCCAGUCUACCUGGACCUUCACCUCUGAAUCUGACUGAGACGCCCCCUUCUCCAGCUCAGGACCCUGCUCGUUUUCAAAGGCUUUGUUUUCUACUCCCAGUGAGGCCACUGGUAUCAAACCAUUCUGUGAAGGACAGCAGAUAUGGGAAAGUCUAGAAUGUGGUGUCAUGAAAUCAGAGUACAGGCACUUCAGAGAUCUGCAUGAACAUGCCCUUCAGGUUGGCUAUAACAAUGGCAGCUAGCACUGACUGCGGGACAGAAAGGGAUGAGUUCCUCCACUACACCUUCUGCAGAGGCUGAAGAAAGGGCCCAAGGGCCAAGAUCACUAUCAUCACCAUCAGAGCUGAGAUGAUACCAGCAACCUGCAACAAUGAGAAGAGAGAACAGUUAAAUCUGGCAUAGACUUUUGCCACUGCGACUGCAACUGCAUAACCAACCACUGCUGUAGAAAAACUAGAGCCCAAAAUAUUCCCGAUAAGUGCUAUAUUUGGUGGCUGUGCCGGUGCAAACCUGUGGAGAAACAAGCAGACACAUAGGACAAUAAUAAUAGUAUGUCAAUAUAAAGUGACUGAAUGUGCACCCAGCCCUCAUCAGGAAGCAGGAAGUGCCACAGGAAGUGCUCUUACCCCCUGGGGAGGCUGUGGACAAUGCUGGCGCCGUACUGGGACUUCAGGUCCAUCAUAUGAGAGAUUGCACAAGCUAUCACUGUCUAUCAGAUCGAAAGAGUGAAAGGUUCUGCUCAGCCGUUCUCGCAAACUCUGGAUCUCUUGGUCUCGUCUCUCAUGGACCUGGUCAAAGACGCGGUUUGAGUAGAUACGGCGUGACACGAGGAUGGCUAAUCCAGAUAAGCAAACACAUAGAGGAUCUCAUCUCUCCUGUGUCAAAACAAUCUGAUCGAACAGACCAAAAGAGCCCUUCUCCCUUUCUCUGGCAGUAUUGCCGUGUUCAGUAGACCAGCUCUUCUAGGUCUGCACUAAGAUCACUGAACCCAUUGACAUUAGAAACCCUUCCAGAAAUUGGGGAGGGAUCCAAUCUCCCACUCUGAAUGAGGAGGUUUGUGUCCACCAGUCUUUCCCUCACAUUUGAGAACCGUAAGUACGAACACAAUGGAAAACCUUAUCUUGAAGCCACUUAUUCUUAAUCAGUUCCACUAUAAUAUCAAACAGUAUUGAUGGUAAAUGAAACCCCACAUUUAUUUAAGAGUAUCUGAAUAAACUAAUUUCUUGUCCAUUAUUGUUUAUACCGAAAUACCUAUUUGUAUAAGUUGAUUACGAAGUCUUACCUGUCAGUUCCACUUUUGAGUUGAGAGUCCACGUCAAAUUGAAAUCCCACAGUCAAGAAAGGGUGCAUCUACUGAAUGCCAGACGUCCACUUAAACAUACAUAUUGUCCAUGUCUAUGAAGUCGGACUCUCUUAAUGGGAGCAGCAUUCCUUUUUUGGUAUUUAUAAGCAGAGUUGGGAUGUGGGAGGUGUAUCAGGGUUAAGCACCAAGAGGAAGCAAAAGGGAAUUAC